CUAUGGCCAUACCACCCUGAACAUGUCCAAUCUCAUCUGAUCCUGGAAGCUAAGCAGGGUUGGACUUUGUUAGUACUUGGAUGGGAAAAGUCUCAGUCCAAAGU
rnacentral:rRNA from 1 species